rnacentral:lncRNA from 1 species
ACAGAAUUUUCCUUUCUGCGUUAAGGGCAAAGAUCUCACAGAUGUGACCAGAGAACCAUUUAUAUCUCCGGCAUUCUCUCCAGAGGGUAACCAAUCUUCCUGAUCUUACUGGAGUCCUUAAAACCCCAGCUGCUCUGAGGAGACCGGGCCAAACAAGGAAGAAGAAUUGGAAGAUGCUGGAAAGCAAAGACCACGUCUGCCAAACGGUGUAGCCGGAGCUGCAAUGUGUGAAGCAUGUCAUGUGAAGCAUGUCAGAAACCAGCGCUCAGCUCUGACUCGGGUGGGCACUUGCAGACCAAGUCUGGAUCCCAGGUGGUUCCGUGAUGGAACUGAAAGGAGCUGGCUUUAUGUCCUGGGUCCCAACACUUCAACGCCAGUUGGAUUUACCUCAGCUCGGCUGCAGAUUCCUCAUCCGUGAAACAGAGGUACAAUUUCUUGCCAUCUUUAUAGGGUUGUAGGGAUGUAGUGUGAAAGCAUUUGUGAGCUGUAAGUGACUUCAUAAAUAGAAAGCCUUGUGAAAUUCUAUCAAUAGAAAAAGCAAUAAAUAGCUCUAGAGUUGAUUUAAUCUUUUUUUUUUUUCCUUAAACCUCUAUGCAAGUGACAUGCAAGUAAGCGUUAGUUGUGGUACAUGAUGCAAGGUGUACUGGUAAAAUGAUUCUGAAUGGUACAUAACAUUCUUAUGUAUACAUGUCAUCUUUUUGGCCU